AAAAAUCAGUUUUUCUAAAAACUAUACUGAAAUAUAACGUAUAAUUAUGAAUACAAUAACAUUUCGUUUGUUCUUGGCUGCAGUUUUCACGCUAACAGUUACAAUAAUGCCUGCAGUAUAUGCCUGCAGUAUGACUGCUGAAGAAGCAAGAAGACUUGCUCUACAGGGAGUAUGUACAUAACGUAAAAAAUGUAUAAAAGGACUCAAGUGUUGACGGCCCAUAUUCCGAAAAGACUAUUUAUAAGCAUUAAGCUUAAAUAAUGGAUUGAAAUAAACGAAAAUUUAAAUUA